rnacentral:rRNA from 1 species
CAGGAUGAACGCUAGGCGGCAUGCCUAACACAUGCAAGUCGAACGGGGUUUAUAUGACGGAACUCUCCGGAGGGAAGAUAUAUAAACCUAGUGGCGGACGGGUGAGUAACGCGUGGGCAACCUGCCCUGUACCGGGGGACAACAGCCAGAAAUGGCUGCUAAUACCGCAUAAGCCUGCUGUGCCGCAUGGCACAGCAGGGAAAACCACGGUGGUACAGGAUGGGCCCGCGUCUGAUUAGUUAGUUGGCAGGGUAACGGCCUACCAAGACAACGAUCAGUAGCCGGCUUGAGAGAGUGGACGGCCACAUUGGGACUGAGACACGGCCCAGACUCCUGCGGGAGGCAGCAGUGGGGAAUAUUGCACAAUGGGGGGAACCCUGAUGCAGCAAUGCCGCGUGGGUGAAGAAGCACUCCGGUGCGUAAAGCCCUGUCAGCAGGGAAGAAAAUGACAGUACCUGACCAAGAAGCCCCGGCUAACUACGUGCCAGCAGCCGCGGUAAUACGUAGGGGGCAAGCGUUAUCCGGAUUUACUGGGUGUAAAGGGAGCGCAGGCGGCGUGGCAAGUCAGAUGUGAAAACCCGGGGCCCAACCCCGGGAGUGCAUUUGAAACUGCCAUGCUGGAGUGCCGGAGAGGUAAGCGGAAUUCCUAGUGUAGCGGUGAAAUGCGUAGAUAUUAGGAGGAACACCAGUGGCGGAGGCGGCUUACUGGACGGUAACUGACGCUGAGGCUCGAAAGCGUGGGGAGCAAACAGGAUUAGAUACCCUGGUAGUCCACGCCGUAA